UUCCUACCUUCUUCAGUUCUCUCAUUCACAGUCUCGCUCUCUAUCUCUCUUUCCAGAUGGCAAAUUUUCUGGGUUUACAUUGGGUUCAUUGUUAUUUUCUUAUUCUGCUUGUAAAUUCUUGUCAAAUUGCUUCUUUGUUUUGUAGCUUCCUGGAACUUCGAAGGCAAAAAUGAUUACGACACAACAUAGAUACGAAAAAAUAUGCUUGAAAUUGGUUUGGUUCUCUACGCUACAGUGGGAUUAGUGAUAACCUUGCUCAACUUCGAACACUUGAAAACCCAUCAUCGUUUCUUGACUUCUUCCAUGGGCCAUUGAUCUAGUCUAUUUUACGAGUACAAAUUAUUGAGUGAGAGGAGGAGCUCCCAUUUUGAUCAAGGAUACAUAAUGGUCUGGGAACAAUAAGCACAAAAAUCAUAUGGAAAACAUGGCCCCGUUGAAUAUAAGACUGACUUAUCCUAUCUGGUUUAAUCUUUAUCGGUCAUGUGAUUUGUCUUAGUCAGUAUAUUUUUCUUGAAGUAGGGACCAAUCUCAAACAAUGCUUUAACAUGCAUGAGUUGCUUUCUCCUAUGCUGCACCUUGAGGAUUGAAUUACUUUUGGUUGACUGGGAAGAUACUUUGAGGUCCAUGAUUUUUGCUUGGUUUUCACAGGAAUUCUAGGUGAGGCAGUACUUGGCAAUAUAAUCUGCAUAAUGGGCCUAUUAUUGGGGAAAAAAGAAGAACAAAGGUUUAUUUACGUAUAAUUUCUUCUGUCAACUCCAUUAUAUAAUCAACUUGGGAUUUGGUGUGGCUAUUUUUCUAAGUAGGUGACUACUUGCUCUGAGUUUGUGCUGUUUUCUAGAUGAUUAUUUUAAGUGUGUCUCAUGGAGUGUCCCUUGCCAUGUUUUGCAUUAGGGAGCCAAUCAGGAUCCAUAGAAUUGGUAGUGCUUGUAAGCCGCAUUUCUCUUUGAUCAAAUCUGAUUUGCACUUUUUGAAUUUACUAAAUUUCCUAUCAGUGUUGCAACUACUUAAUGAGGAUUUUGAAUGCACGUCUACCCAACUAAGUUCUAGUUGAUGGUGUUUGUCGGAGAAGAGACAAAUAUUAUUCAAAACAUUUUCUGUAGUGGAAGGGAAAUGACGACUUUGUCUUACUGUAGUUGCCACAGUUGUUGCUGCUCUAUGCUUAUAGUUAAUCUGAUUUUGUAUGAGUGAUGAUCUAACAAGCGUGCUAUAUUUCAGCUUCACACUUCCUGUACAAAUUUUUCAUGUCACUUAGAAUGUAUUUGUAUCUUUUUUGGGUUGAAUGUAGCUAUCAAGACUUGGAAAGAAAUUGAUGAGUACGUACUGGUAUCACAGGCACAUGAGGAAAUGACGGCAGGAAAUCAACCUCAUAGCUUGAGGAGAGAACUUUAUAAGCCAAAUGAAUUUAAUUGAUGUUAAGGCCUAUCUUCAGCUGAAACAAGGAGAGGAUUGGAGCAAAUUGCAGCGUUUUCUUAUGUAAAUUAAUUUUCAUGACAACGAUUUUGGUGUCCUUCUCCUAAUCAAGAACGUCUUGACAUACGUGGGUUAAAACAAAAACAA